UAGGGAAUCUUCCGCAAUGGGCGAAAGCCUGACGGAGCAACGCCGCGUGAGUGAUGAAGGUCUUCGGAUCGUAAAACUCUGUUAUUAGGGAAGAACAAAUGUGUAAGUAACUAUGCACGUCUUGACGGUACCUAAUCAGAAAGCCACGGCUAACUACGUGCCAGCAGCCGCGGUAAUACGUAGGUGGCAAGCGUUAUCCGGAAUUAUUGGGCGUAAAGCGCGCGUAGGCGGUUUUUUAAGUCUGAUGUGAAAGCCCACGGCUCAACCGUGGAGGGUCAUUGGAAACUGGAAAACUGGAGUGCAGAAGAGGAAAGUGGAAUUCCAUGUGUAGCGGUGAAAUGCGCAGAGAUAUGGAGGAACACCAGUGGCGAAGGCGACUUUAUGGUCUGUAACUGACGCUGAUGUGCGAAAGCGUGGGGAUCAAACAGG
rnacentral:rRNA from 1 species